CGAGGGUCCACCCGUUCCCAUCCCGAACACGGAAGUUAAGCUCGCUUCUGCCCACGAUACUUGGCUGGAGACGGCCCGGAAAAAUAGGUAGCGCCAACA
rnacentral:rRNA from 1 species